CUGGGAUUCUGGAGGAAACUGGGCACACGACGCUCAGUAUUAUGAUGACAUUACUGGAGGCAUAGAUGUUGAACUGGGUUGUUUUGCUUCAUAACCAAGCCAGAUGUAUGAAAAUCAUGAGAGACAACUGCAGAUGUUGGCAAAAUAAGCAGAUUUCAGAGACAGUUGGAGAUGCUGAUGGCUAUACAGGUGCUGGAUACAUGUGCAGUUGUUGGUGAUGAACAGAAAUGUUGGAGAAACGUCCAGAUGUUAAAUAGUUUCCUCCUUGUUGUUCUUCAAUUUCUG